rnacentral:rRNA from 1 species
UACGUAGGGGGCAAGCGUUGUCCGGAAUCAUUGGGCGUAAAGAGCGUGUAGGCGGCCCGAUAAGUCCGCUGUGAAAGUCCAGGGCUCAACCCUGGGAUGCCGGUGGAUACUGUCGGGCUCGAGUCCGGAAGAGGAGUGUGGAAUUCCUGGUGUAGCGGUGAAAUGCGCAGAUAUCAGGAGGAACACCAAUGGCGAAGGCAGCUCGCUGGGACGGUACUGACGCUAAGGCGCGAAAGCGUGGGGAGCAAACAGG